rnacentral:rRNA from 1 species
GCGCACCAGUCGCGAAACCUCCGCAAUACACGAAAGUGUGACGGGGCCAUCCCGAGUGCCGUCCGCUGAGGACGGCUUUUCCCCAGUGUACACAGCUGGGGGAAUAAGGAGAGGGCAAGCCUGGUGUCAGCCGCCGCGGUAAUACCAGCUCUCCGAGUGGUGGGGACGCUUAUUGGGCCUAAAGCAUCCGUAGCCGGCUGGGCAAGUCCUCCGUUAAAUCCAACGAUUCAAUCGUUGGGCUGCGGGGGAUACUGUCCAGCUUGGGGGCGGGAGAGGCCGACGGUAUUCCCGGGGUAGGGGUGAAACCCUAUAAUCCCGGGAGGACCACCAGUGGCGAAGGCUGUCGGCUAGAACGCGCCCGACGGUGAGGGAUGAAAGCUGGGGGAGCGAACCGGAUUAGAUACCCGUGUAGU